UACGUAGGUGGCAAGCGUUGUCCGGAUUUAUUGGGUUUAAAGGGUGCGUAGGCGGCUUUGUAAGUCAGUGGUGAAAUAUGGCAGCUCAACUGUCAGGGUGCCAUUGAUACUGCGGAGCUUGAGUACAGAUGAGGUAGGCGGAAUUGACGGUGUAGUGGUGAAAUGCGUAGAGAUCGGCAGGAACACCCAAGGGGAAGCCAGCUGACUGGCCCGGUACUGACACUCAGGGACGACAGCGUGGGGAGCGAACCGG
rnacentral:rRNA from 1 species